AACGUAGGAGGCGAGCGUUAUUCGGAUUUACUGGGCGUAAAGCGCGUGCAGGCGGCUCGAUAAGUUGGAUGUGAAAGCUCCUGGCUCAACUGGGAGAGGUCGUUCAAUACUGUCGGGCUAGAGGAUGAGAGAGGGAGGUGGAAUUCCGGGUGUAGUGGUGGAAUGCGUAGAUAUCCGGAGGGACACCAGUGGCGAAAGCGGCCUCCUGGCUCAUUUCUGACGCUAAGACGCGAAAGCUAGGGUAGCAAACGGGAUUAGAGACCCCGGUAGUCCUAGCCGUAAACGAUGUAGACUUGGCGUUGGUGGGGUAAAAUCCAUCAGUGCCGAAGCUAACGCGAUAAGUCUACCGCCUGGGGACUACGAUCGCAAGAUUAAA
rnacentral:rRNA from 1 species